ensembl:miRNA
UGGCAGAGAUGAAGCGGUUGAGUCAGAUUUCCUUCCCUUUUAUUAACUCUGCUGUCCUCGACCGUGUCUCUCUGUAGC